UACAGGGACUGCAAGCGUUAUUCGGAUUCACUGGGCGUAAAGGGUGCGCAGGCGGCCAAGUGUGUGAGGCGUGAAAGCCCGGGGCUUAACCCCGGAAUUGCACCUCAAACUACAUGGCUAGAGCAUUGGAGAGGGUAGAGCGGAAUUCACGGUGUAGCAGUGAAAUGCGUAGAUAUCGUGAGGAACACCAGAGGCGAAGGCGGCUACCUGGACAAUUGCUGACGCUCAGGCACGAAAGCGUGGGGAGCAAAAGGG
rnacentral:rRNA from 1 species